rnacentral:misc_RNA from 1 species
CGCCACACUCGCUUGUUUUUUUUUUCCAGUGCCAGCGCACACGCACCCGCACAGAUACACACGUGUGGCUCGCACUCGAGUUGGGGGGUGGUGGUGGUCACAGAAGCCAUCGACGAUUUCCGUUGCGUGUCUGAGCCGAAUCUUCGAUUUACCAUCCAGCAACCCGUCAUCGCACCCUUUGAACACACAAAUACAAGACGCAGUCUCCGUGAUGUUGCACGAAGGCCAACCCAUGUACGACACUGCGCCGCUCAGUGCGUUUGACACGGGGGACGUUGCGGAGAGGGACGUGCUCGCCUCCGUCGACAACACUUACUCUCCCUGCCACAGCAGCUUAUCGACUCGCCAACGGCAGCAGCACCAGCAGCGCAUGCUGCGUCACAGCAUGAGCGGCAGCGGCUCCUGCAUCGCGGCGGUGCGCUGCACCAGCUCACUGCCGGUACCGCAGGGCAGCGUUGGCUCUAAUCCACUCUCGCCGCCAGCCGCUGCCCAGCCUCAGCUGCCCUUUGCGCCAGUCGGUGCGGCUGGCACGGCAGACUGGGGCGACCAUGAGCACUCCAUCCCCCAACAGCUGCGGCAGUUGGAGAAAAAUCCGCCGCCGGAGGUUCCUCCGCUGACCCCCGCCGCCGAGGACUUUGUGCACGAGAUACUGGCAAUGAACACGUUGGCGAUGGAGCAGUGCUACGCUGCCAUUGCCGCGACCAGUGGUGCUACCCUUGUCGGCGCUGCCGUCGCCAACUCCACCCCCAACGUCACCGCUGCCUCGGAGGAGCCCAUGAGGAUCCUGAGCGAGGCCUACAUGCGGGUCGACGAGACUUCUGCGCAGGAUUUCCCGGUGCCGUUGCUUGAUGAGCUGAAGACCACGACACUCAAUAACAUGGGCGUUGUGGAGUGCAAUCGCGGCCAGCCACGGCAGGCGCUUAGUCACUUUGAGGCUGCUCGGCAGCUGGAGGAGAACAACGGCAUGGCCUCGCCCUCCAUCGCCCUCAACAUGUGCGCAGCGUACAACGCGUUGCGUAUGUUUGACAAGGCGACAGCGGCCGCGCUGGAGACGAUUGACAUGCUGCGCUCGUUGGCGCUGCAGCGACGGCGUAAUCGUCGACUGAAUGCUACCGCGACUGCCCUUCUCGGCGGCAGCGGUCUUCCGUGGCACGGCAGCGGUGGCGGCGCGAUGGACGGCGCCAAGGACGGAGACACGUCAACGACAGACCUGCUGCUCGAGGCCGCUGCGGCUCCGAAGAUUGCGGACUCGCAGAACGAGGCGCUAUGGGGUGCCGCGUGGAACAACUUGGCAGUUGCGCAGAUCAACACUGCUCGCGGCUCCAAGGACACGAGCGAAUACACGAAUGCGCUGUCCCUCUUCCAAAACGCGAUGCGAGCGACGCAGGAGCUGCUCGGAAUGCAGCACCCCAUGUCGAAGGCAGUCGUCGAGACAUUCCGCUCGGUGCGGCGAGCCUUGCGCUAUCACGGCGCCUUUAAGCAGCACCGCUCGCUGCUGCGUGCGCCGCUGCCGCCGGUGGACCCGCGGGAGCGAGAGUGGGAGGAGAGGCAGGUGGAGGUGAUGCCGGGCCACACCCGCCACGGCACCCUGCAGCAACAGAGGCAGCAGCUGACCAUUACGUUUCGCGGCGAGGUUACAGGCGGGCAGAAGGUGGUUGAGCGGCUGGACAGCACCCCAUACCCCGGCGCCGCCUCCGAGCCAUACCAGAAGCAGCAGCGCAUGUGUGGCUCAAACAGCGGUUGUGGCAACACCUCCGCUGCGACUGGUAGCCGCAACCGAAGCCGCUCCGGCAGCAAGAAGCAGCCCAAGCCGCAGAGCGGCAUAUCGCAGCUGAUGCGCAGCAUACCACUCAGUAGCACCCUAUGCCACGCUAGCGCCGUGUACGGCAAUCCGCACCCCCUUCUCUACUCCCCACCACCGUCAGGGCAGUACGCGGAGUCGGCCCCGCUCUCCUUUUCGGGCAGCGUCCGUGCGACGGUCAACCAGUACGACGGCUCUGCCGCCGCCCCUGGACGUGCCAUGUCCGCCGCCGACUCGAGCCGCCAAGGCCGCAACAGGGGCCUACACAGCCACACCACUAGAAGCCGUAGCGGUGCAACAGGGCGCACACCGCCCCCGCAUCGGCAGCAGCAGCAGCCGGCAGCCACAGCAGCAACGGAGAGGGGUGGGGGCAAGCGGAGCAAGUCCCGGAAAACAGGGAACAAUCACUUUCAGACGGCCCCGCACCCGAGCUCCUCGCGUAGCUACCAGCAUGGCAACGCGGUAGGUGCAGCUGCAGCGCCUCCUGCACCGCAGCCAACUCGUCCACCAGUGUCCAAGGCGCUGCCACCUAUCGAUAUGGGCGCUGCUGCUGGUGGUGCUGCCGCUACUCCCGCCGCCUUAGCAGAGUAUAAUGAAGGCCAUGCAGGGGCUGCUGGUGCCGUGCCUCUCGGGUAUGCCACUGGCACAUUCGGCGACAGGUCCAGCAGGCCCACCGUCACAUCUAUCUUCACGCAACAUCAGCCGCAGCGGCCGUCGAAAAGGAUUCCGUCAGCGCCGCAUGGGUCUACGUCUGUCUCUCCUUCAGCGGGUGUUGUCCACAGUGGUGCUGCGGCCACUUCACAUGUGCAGCAGUCGAAAAUGCUUCUGCUGGCUGCGCCGGCGAGCGGCGUGGCCACGACGACGACCUACUACCCGCUCGAGGUUCCGUCAGAGGCAGUAGCAAAGUCUGCGGAGCACCGAGGGCCGAUGCUCACGCCGGCGACGGUGCAGUCCGCUUGGCACGACGCCGGAGACCCGAGCGCGGGCACCCACGAGCUGUUCCGGGGCAUGUGGGUCACCGCCGACCCACACUACGUACACCGCGGCCCGCGUGUAUUCGGCCGACCGGCGUACUACACGAUUGCCACUACGCUGGGUGUGACUGAGGAUGGCGUGGGCGGUGGCGCUAGUGUCGCCGGCACCGGCACCGGCGCUGCGGCUUCAACAACACAGACGGACUCAGCACCUCGCCCAGUGCUGCCUACGCUGACGUACAGCAGCAGCGGCAGCGAGGAGGACAACGAUGCUGAGGGUGAGGAAGGCCAUGGGUGCGAAGGCGGCGCGAUGGAUGUGCGCCACCACACCUCCGUAUCCACCGAUGCGCCAUCGUCGUCUGCUUCGCCAAAGAAGAACACCCUGGCGGAGACAUCGCGGAUGACGAGUAGCUGAGUUUGUGUGUGUGCAUGUCUCUGCGUUACCGCGCAUCGGACACAGUGUGGCUGGACGAACGCCCUCACCCUUUUUCGGACUUGCUUGCUGCGCUUUUCAGGUUCCACUGCUGUGGCGGGUGGUGCUAACCGUCGAGGGACACCAAGCCGUCUUACCGUGGCGGCUGUCCGGCGUGUGCGCACUCGACGUGUCGUCUCUGCCUUUUGCGCUGCACGCAUUAGCGGCAUCGCCAUCAUCGCGCGUGCCCGUCUGCGUCUGUCCUUCCCUCCUCCCCUCUCCUCCCCUUCCCCUUUCUCUGUGUGUGGGUGUGUGGGGGCCGCACGAUGGCCGGCCGGGCCGCCUGCUUUUCUUCCUUAGUGUGGCGCCUUCUGUGUUCGACGGGCCUUGGACACGUCCGCCUUCGUGCGGCCCCUCCGCCCUCCCCCCCGUAUCAUCGCUGUUCUGCCUGUCUGUGUGUAUACCAGAACAUUGCCGCUAGUGUCUGUGCCUGUAUCUCUCUCUGUGUUGGAUGUACAGUAGUCGUUUAUUCGGCUUGUCUUGUCUUCGAAUCGUUCAAGUGGAAGAGCAAGGUGCGGAGGGGGGGCAUGUGGGGUGGGUGUGGGGGCUGUCCAUGCGUGCGCGUGCGCGUGUGUCUGCAUCGCCUUGCGCCUACUCCGUCCUCCCUUCUCCGCUCAUCUCUUUAUCUUCUGCUUGCGUGGUCCUCUUCGCAUCUCAUGUAUCAGCUCCGCUUGCCACCUCCACCCGCAACGACGUGUGUGCGCGACGUGUGCCGAUGGAGGAGGAUGGUCUCAUGUACAUCUUUCGUGUGCGCCGACUUGAGAGGGACCACCGGUCAGUGCCCCUCUCGUUCGCUCUAUCUCUGGCUGACUGCCUCUCUCGCGUCGCCUUAGACUACCCACACCGACGUACGCAUAGACACAACGUUUUUCUCUGCGUAUGUGUGUGUGUGUGCCGGAGCCGCGCUCAACCUGUC